rnacentral:rRNA from 1 species
GACGAACGUUGGCGGCGUGCUUAAUACAUGCAAGUCAACUGAAGCACCGGUAGUAAUACUGGUGUGGAGGUGGCGCACGGGUGAGUAACACGUAGGUAAUCUGCCUUCAGGUCUGACAUAACCCCGAGAAAUCGGGGCUAAUAGCAGAUGAUGCAGCGGCUUGACAUCAAGACAGUUGUUAAAGCUUCGGCGCCUGAAGAUGAGCCUGCGUCUGAUUAGCUAGUUGGCGGAGUAAUAGCCCACCAAGGCGACGAUCAGUAGCUGGUCUGAGAGGAUGAUCAGCCACACUGGAACUGAGACACGGUCCAGACUCCUACGGGAGGCAGCAGUAAGGAAUAUUGCUCAAUGGGAGAAAUCCUGAAGCAGCAACGCCGCGUGAGGGAUGAAGGGCUUUUGCUCGUAAACCUCUGUAGUGAGGGAAAAAAUUUCCAUUCUAUGGAAUAUGAUGGUA